rnacentral:ribozyme from 1 species
AUGUGUAUCGUAGAUUGCUUUCUUUCUUAUUAUCUACGUUCUCUUCAUUUUUCUCAUCUGGUGUGAGGAUAAUAAAUACAGUAAGUAGU